UAACACACACAUGAUGUAUACACACACAUAUAUAUUUUUUCUUAUGAUUGUGUUUGAAGUUUAUUAGCUUAAUACCUUAUAAAAAAUCAUCUUUGGUAAUUGACACAUACAAUUCAGAUGUAAAGGUUUACCUGUUGACUUUAACAAAAACUUUUAACAGUCUUACUUCAGAAUAAAAUGAUUAGUCAAAUGGAAUUAUAGUUCAUGUAUUAACAAGUGAAAUCCUAUAUAAAAUUGUCUUUUAUGCAGGUUAGUUUGAAUGGGAAAGGGAAUAAGAAUUUUUUUUUAUCCCUAUCCCUCCCAAAACAAGGGUUUGAAGUGUCUUUUAUGCUGCAGAGACUAGGUUAUAUUCAAGGAAGGUGUGUAGUCUUAAAAUAGUUUUCUUGGGAGGAGGUUUUAGUCUGAAGAAGGUGAAGAUAUUUAUGCUGAGUCAUGUUAAAUUUCAUGUGGGACCUACGAAAGCUGGUUGGAAAAAAUUGAAAUGGUUUCACUAAAUAUGUUGUGCAAACUGGACUUUGAGAGUAAGUGUGGUAACUAGAUUCAUAAACUCUUCAGUCAUUAUUUUUAUCUUAUAUGAAAAUAAUUUAACAUUUAAUUUUUGCCUUAACUGUCACAGCAUUUUAUGACUUUACCUUCUAGGGCAUUUUAAUGAUUGAAAAAAGACUGUAAGUAAACCAUUAAGAGUAAUUCUGUCUGUGGUAGUAAUGACGUUCCUGGUGCUUGUUUUGGUUAAUUGUCAAACAGCAGAAAAGAAACCCCAGAAUACUUGUGGGCUUUACCUUGUUAUACAGAUUGAUACCUUUCGAUUGGAUUUAUUGUGUUUCUGAAUUAUUACAUUCUGGCUAACCAGUAGCUUUGUCUCUUUCCCUCAGUGUUAAUCAAAGGAUGAGGACUGAUUCUCACUUCUAUUGGGUGUGACUAUCAUAAAUUAAGAAUUUCCAGUGAGUUUAAAUGUUUGCAGGAUUAUUGUAUUCCCAAAGUUGACUAGCAGUGCCAGCUGUACUCUCCCCUGAGAAAAUGAACAGUUAUUAUGCUUUUUUGAAAGCUUUUUGAUGUAAAUAACACCAGUUUAGAAAUUAAAAACCUUUUAUCUUGCAGAAUACAAUUUGAGAGAAUGAAGGUUUCCUUUUGUAUUUUAAAACAUUUUUACAGUUGAUUGUUCAGAUAUUGGCUUUGUGUAAAAAUAUUAUCGUGUUAAAUUUAGACUGACUGUAGUGCAAUAUCAAUAAAUUUUGCUGCUUGGACAGUUUUAAUUACUACCUUAACCUGGUUUCUGCUACUGUUACUUGUUAUCAUAGGUUCCAGCUUAUUCAUAUUUUGUCUGUCUUUGGACCAAUAAAAUAUGACAAGUAUGAGAUAAAGGCAUAUUUAUAUGAUGGGAACAACUAUUAAAAGAGUGUCUCUGCAAAAGUGAAAAUAAAGAACUGGGUCAAACAAAAGCAGAUUCUUAAGGGCUCAUUCACUUGGCGGUCAUGACACUAGCACUCUUUAGUGAACGGAGUUCUACAAACAGAACAUUUUCCACGUGAAUUUGAUUUGCAGAAAGUGCAAAAGUGAAAGGUACGGUAAGAACUAACUAAAAGCAGGUCAUCAGUGUGAAUGUGGGGGGGGAUUUUGUAUAUAGCUUGCUUCUUCAUUCUGCUGAGCUGGUAUUUCAGAUGAUCAGUAGAUGCGUGAUUUGCAGCAACCUUGACUACGGAAAAAUCCAGCACUGUCAUUCAAGGGUCGAGUUACUCAAUAGCGGCUGCUGUUACGGGCAGAAUGAGUUCUUGUCUGGGUCACAUGCAAGAGCUCACUCAGGUGCAGUGUGAUAGAGAAUGUAUCCAAUACAACUCUUAAUCAAAAAUGCCACCAUUGCACGUGAAACGUUCUACCUUUAUGCAGGGACAGCUGCUUUUCAGCUUGCACUCUUUCCCACUGGUUUACAGUGGUUAACAUCCAUCGAAUGCUCAGUGAUGAACUGGUGGUAGCAGCCAGCAUUACGUUGGUCGCUCUAGGUCCAGUUCUAAAAAGACAAUGCUUGGCAGCCCAAGACCUGUGUCUGUUAGUGAAUCACAUGUGAUUAGUUACAAAGUAAUUUUAGGUGUGUGAAACGGGGAACUUUAGAAGGCCACAGAUUCGUAGCCAACUUCAGCCUGGCCUACGUAAACACAAGGUUUCAACGGGCAGGUAUAGGAUUUGGAUAAACCUCGUGAGAAAUAGGUGUGUAGCAAGUAGAGUUUGUAUCAUUUGUCAAAGAUAAAAUAGAAAAAUAUUUGCUAUGUGAUUUUUUUUUGUUGUUGUUAAUACUCGUGUUCUACAAAGCUAUCACUUAAUGCAGAAAAAAAAAAAUCUCAAAAACGUUACUUAUCUUCCCUUCCCUCCCAGAAAACCUUGGCAACCCUGUGGCUGCACCCUAACUCAAUUCAUUGCAGAAAUUUCACUCAGAAAAUUCUCUCCCUUUCGGCCUCCAAAAAUGUUCUCUCUCUGGGCUGCAUCUAGAAAUACAGGUACAGCUGUAACCUUCCCAUGAUCUUUUCACUUUACAUAGUCUCAUGGACGACACAUAACUUCCAGUUAGGCGUUUGCAAAUGGCUUAAAAGUUUUAGGGAUCCUUUGGGUGUUUUCUGUAGUCUGAAUGUCUUACUAAAAAUAUGAGCAUGACACCCCAAACUCUUGAGAGCUUUAAGACAAUUGAUAGAGCUUAAAAAUAAUUGCAGGAUAAUGUGAGCAGGCCGUGGGAACACCUUUGGAAGGGAACAGGCAGCUAUGAGGUUCCUAACUCAUGCCAGUGAGAUAUUCCAGUCCAGAUGAGGUAAAACUAUGGGGGUGUGUUUUUUCUUUUAAAAAAAUGUAAUUGGUAUGCAGGUAGGAACUAGGAGAUUUUCAUACAGUUUUAAGUUUUUCUUAGGAUGAGGCUAGUAAGGAUUUUACUACUUCAACAGUUUUUAAGAAGAAAUCAUAGCGGCUCUAAUUUGGACUGCCUUCCUAGAGUAGUGAGAAUGUUAAUGCUCUAAUUUGAAGUUCUCUGAGAUCCCUGUGAAAGUAUUGCUGCAGGCUCAGAGGAAGACAGCAACAAAUGCAAGCAUCUCGAAGGAGAUAUUAAGCCAUUCUCUUUAACUGGCACUUAAGUUUUUAUUCAUCUAACAUUCCAGCUUCAGGCAGCUUGGAUAUUAACUUCAGAAAGUUGACCUGCUCGUAGAUGAGCGUGAAUCUGAAACAUUUACUUGCACUGGCAAUGAUGAAACGUCUAGGAUACCUCUGGGGCUGGAGCAGGAGAGGAAGGAAGGGCAUGAUAAAUCUCAGCUGUCCGAUCACUUAAGAUACUUAAUCAUCAAUAAUUUUCGGGCUUAGUCUCCACGAGGAGUCUUACCGCCUGCGAGUCCACAGCAGCGUUGGCAGCUGGUGCAGAUGGACUUUGGCAGAACGUCACAUCUGCCGGCAGGUCCACAUGUAGAUGCCACUCCAGCGGGACGGAAGUCUGCUUUGCCUGUGGUUUUUACCUUAAUUCAGCAGUGGGAAAUACACUCCAGGGGAACUGUGAAAGGGAUCCUUUCUUCCCAUGCCUUUUUCGCUAAGAGCCAAAGAUGGGGCAGAGAAGGUGACUGCCUGAAAGGGGUAACCAUUGCGGGAAGUGGGAAACAAAAACAUGGAAGUCUGAAGACUUUCCACCUCAUACAAGUUAAAUCUGUAUCAUUUUUUACCUUUGAUGGAGAGAUUAAACUAGCUACUAUUUAGAAAGAGAAACUCAGGUUAUUAAAAAAAAAAAAAUUCAGGUAUCUGCAAUUAUUUAAUCAGUGUGGUUUUACGUUUAGCAUAAAUGAAUGCCUCUUGGUUCACCUUCAGCAAGGAUCUUCUCUUAGGGAGCAUUUGAAAAAUACAAGGAAAGGAAAUCAACUAUUUAAUUGCCUUUUUUUUUUUAUUCCACGUAUUUAUAAAAAGCAAGUUUUUCUGGGGAAAGAGUUUUCACCCAAUCACCACAUAUUUAAAAGUAUUAUGUUGAAGUAUAAAUUUGAAAGGAGGCCAGGUAGGGUCAGUAAUACUUGGGCUUAUAAUGGAGGAGAAGAGACCUCUUGGGUCUGGAAAAGUUACAUGACCCUAAAAAGGGUGAGUUUUCUUUGAACUUGGACCAAGAAUGGUAGACAGAAGUCAGCAGACAGGAUUAUAUUCAUGUGUCAGCUAUACUUUUCAGGGUUGGUGAAGAUGAAAGCUGUCUGUUUUGAAUGUUCGGUCUCAAAUAUUUCCCCUUGGCAAAAUGGAAAAAUGGGGAAAACCAGUAUUUUGUCUUUUAAACUCCCCCCCACCCCCCGUAUAACUUCAGUCACAUUUUCCUUAUGACAAAAUGAAACUUUAUCCAAAGAGUAAAAAUUGAUUAAAAAAAAAAAAAAAA